rnacentral:rRNA from 1 species
GACAGAGGUGCCGAGCGUUAGGCGGAAUCACUGGGCUUAAAGCGUGUGUAGGUGGAUGCCUAAGUACCUUGUGAAAUCCCACGGCUUAACCGUGGAACUGCUUGGUAUACUGGGUGUCUUGAGCCAGCUAGGGGCUACCGGAACAAAUGGUGGAGCGGUGAAAUGCGUAGAUAUCGGAAGGAACGCCGGUGGCGAAAGCGAGUCGCUGGACCUCUUCUGACGCUGAGGCGCGAAAGCCAGGGGAGCAAACGGG